rnacentral:rRNA from 1 species
AGCUUGCUACUGGACCUAGCGGCGGACGGGUGAGUAAUGCUUAGGAAUCUGCCUAUUAGUGGGGGACAACAUCUCGAAAGGGAUGCUAAUACCGCAUACGUCCUACGGGAGAAAGCAGGGGAUCUUCGGACCUUGCGCUAAUAGAUGAGCCUAAGUCGGAUUAGCUAGUUGGUGGGGUAAAGGCCUACCAAGGCGACGAUCUGUAGCGGGUCUGAGAGGAUGAUCCGCCACACUGGGACUGAGACACGGCCCAGACUCCUACGGGAGGCAGCAGUGGGGAAUAUUGGACAAUGGGGGGAACCCUGAUCCAGCCAUGCCGCGUGUGUGAAGAAGGCCUUAUGGUUGUAAAGCACUUUAAGCGAGGAGGAGGCUACUUUAGUUAAUACCUAGAGAUAGUGGACGUUACUCGCAGAAUAAGCACCGGCUAACUCUGUGCCAGCAGCCGCGGUAAUACAGAGGGUGCGAGCGUUAAUCGGAUUUACUGGGCGUAAAGCGUGCGUAGGCGGCUUAUUAAGUCGGAUGUGAAAUCCCCGAGCUUAACUUGGGAAUUGCAUUCGAUACUGGUGAGCUAGAGUAUGGGAGAGGAUGGUAGAAUUCCAGGUGUAGCGGUGAAAUGCGUAGAGAUCUGGAGGAAUACCGA